rfam:Bombyx mori DNA, contig: Bm_scaf40_contig23007, strain: p50T/Dazao, build 2, whole genome shotgun sequence.
UUAACUCAAAUUUGUAUGGAGUUGAAACGUUUGCCUACGUUUACCACUAGGGGCGCUAGGGGCGCAGUUCCAAUUGCAUACAAAUUUGAGUUA